UACGUAGGGCGCAAGCGUUAUCCGGAAUUAUUGGGCGUAAAGAGCUCGUAGGCGGUUUGUCGCGUCUGCCGUGAAAGUCCGGGGCUCAACUCCGGAUCUGCGGUGGGUACGGGCAGACUAGAGUGAUGUAGGGGAGACUGGAAUUCCUGGUGUAGCGGUGAAAUGACGCAGAUAUCAGGAGGAACACCGGUGGCGAAGGCGGGUCUCUGGGCCGAUACUGACGCUGAGGAGCGAAAGCAUGGGGGAGCGAACAGG
rnacentral:rRNA from 1 species